rnacentral:rRNA from 1 species
UACGGAGGAUCCGAGCGUUAUCCGGAUUUAUUGGGUUUAAAGGGUGCGCAGGCGGAAUAUUAAGUCGGCGGUGAAAGUUUGCAGCUUAACUGUAAAAUUGCCGUUGAUACUGGUAUUCUUGAGUGUAUAUGAAGUAGGCGGAAUUUGUAGUGUAGCGGUGAAAUGCAUAGAUAUUACAAGGAACUCCGAUUGCGAAGGCAGCUUACUAAAAUACAACUGACGCUUAGGCACGAAGGCGUGGGGAUCAAACAGGAUUAGAUACCCUGGUAGUCCCU